ACGUAGGGGGCGAGCGUUGUUCGGAAUUACUGGGCGUAAAGGGCAUGUAGGCGGCUCUGUAAGCCUGGCGUGAAAGUCACCGGCUCAACCGGUGGAUUGCGCUGGGAACUGCGGGGCUUGAAUCAUGGAGAGGGAGCUAGAAUUCCAGGUGUAGGGGUGCAUGGUGUAGGGAGAUGGAUGAAGGGCGGUGGCGAAGGCAAGAACCUGGCCAAUGAUUGCCGCUGAGGUGCGAGAGUGUGGUGAUCAAAAAG
rnacentral:rRNA from 1 species